UUUAGAAAAGCAUCUGGAUGCCCACGCCACCACCCUCCCAGCCACCUCUGAAGUUGCCAGGCUUCCCAACAUUCUUGUCUGUGAUAUUAAAGCCAUGACAGCAAACAGCCCCUUUCUCCUAAGGUUCCUGAUUUGAAGUGGCAAAACAAGGCAGUGGCAUAGUCUCCUGUCCUAUGUCCUUGGCAUGCAGCCUCCACCCAGCUCUGGCUGCAGAGGGCCGCACUCCGCUUGUACCGCAAUUCAUGCACAGUCCAGACUUAUACAGCAGCCGGCAACCCUAAGGGCAGGAUGAUUCCGAGACACACCAAAUCUUUGGCUUCAGGUCACAUGUUGCUCUGGAGAACCGAGAAGGGUGAGCAGACACCAAUCAUGACCCCAAACAGCAAGAGGACAGAAGGGAUCCCCCCUACUCCACAGCUUGACGGCAGAGCAGUGACCAGAAUAUAUGCUCAGGAAGGCCAAAGAGAUGAAGCCGCAGCUGCCUCUUUUUUUUUUUUGAGACAGUCUCAUUCUGUUGCCCGGGCUGGAGUGCAGUGGUGCGAUCUCGGCUCACUGUAACCUCCACCUCCCAGGUUCAAGCAAUUCUCGUACCUCAGCCUCCCAGGUAGCUGGAACUAUACAGGUGUACCAUCACACCCGGCUAAUUAUUUUUUGUCUUUUUUUGUAGAGAUGGGGUUUCGCCAUGUUGGUCAGGCUGGUCUCGAACUCCUGGCCUCAGGUGAUCCACGCACCUCCGCCUCCCAAAGUCCUGGGAUUAGAGGCGUGAGCCACCGUGCCCAGCCAGGCUUGCUUCUCUGAGCCAUACCCUUCUGUUGGAACAAGCAUCCUUUCUAUUAAAAGCAAUAAAUCUCCUCUUA
rnacentral:lncRNA from 1 species